CUGCCGUUACCAGGAUUGCAGUCGGUUCUAGAGCUGAAUCGGUUAUAACUGCUCCAGGCUCAUAGGUUUCUCAACCUCCGCCACCGGUUAUAGACAUUUCCUUUUAAUUCCCCUUCCAAGCAGGCUGAAGGCCUGAGAGAGGACUGUCCCACGACUUCUCCCGUCUGGUCCUGAAGUCUGUCUCCAGGAUGAAGAUUUUCAACUCGGACAGGAAAGGGCAGUCUACAUCGCGCUCCUUCGCUAUCUGGCGGAAUCACUUCGAAGCCCCAGAGUCCGACUCUAACGCUGGAUACCUGAUCCAGGAAAAGAACCUCUGGAAGCUCCACAAAGCUACCUCGAUCGGGGACAUGGCGAAAGUGCAGCAGCUGCUGCUGCGAGGAAAGCACAACGUGAAUGAUACUCUGGAUAAAGUGAAGAGGCCUGAGCUAACCCUCGGAAAAUGACAGCAAGUCCCGAAAGCCGGCGUCACCUCUCCCUCCUGCCUGUCCAUUUAUAAUGAAUGGGAAACUCUUUUCUACUUUUAGCCGGGGUCCAACUUUACCUAUACUUAAUCAGUGGCGACGUGGGAGCAAAUACUAUUCUCUUUUGCUGAAAUGUUGUCACGUCUAAAACGACUGCUUGAGGAGAAUUUAAUUGGCAAAGUUGCUGAACUGGUUUGUCAUUUCCUUCUUAAGUUCAUUUUGACAAAAGAGGAAACUGAGGCAAACCAGGUUACGUGAUCUGCCAGGGUCACAUAACUAAGAGAUAUCAUGAUUGCUGUCAGGAGUGAAUCACCAGGUGUAGUCAGUUUUCUUCUUGAAUAUGAUAUGAUUUCUCUUGCCAAAAUACAUGGAUGGAAAGCCAAAGAGUGUGCUAUUGUCAGUGAUUAUUCUAGAAGGAAUGCAGUCAGCACCUUUCACUUCACAUCAGCUGUUCCAGUACUGGAUUUACUUUGGAUGGACCUGCCUUGGACAAAGAAGGGAAAAGGACAGAUGACUGCAGAUGCUCUUGAGGAACUUAAUCAUGUGACACAGGUACAUAAGAUUAUGAUUUGGCUCCCUCAAAUUAUAAGAAUAUUAUGUUAUUGGUUGAGCAACUUAUUGUUGUUUAAAGGUAAGAAUAUUUUUAAAUUUUCUAACAGAAUACCAACAUUAAACAGAAACAUAUCUUGUGUUUAUAUCCAAGAAGAGAUCACUGAAGUCUUAUUCCAUUGAUCGUGACUUUGGGUUCUUGGAGACUCUAAUAUUGGAGUCUAAUCUCUGGCAAACCUCACCAAGCUAAAAGGAUUAUGUUUGAUUCAGGCUGAAAGGAUUAUGUUUGGAUCAGGCUGAUGAUUUUUCAGCCAUAGAAGUUCUCAAGAAUGAUCUACUAUUUGUUUCAAUGCAGAAAGAAUUAAGUACCUACUAUGAGCCAAAUAAACAAAAUUUAGAAAAGACACAUUCCUGAGCCAAGAUGGCAGAGUGAA